AACGAACGCUGGCGGCAGGCCUAACACAUGCAAGUCGAACGCUCCAGCAAUGGAGAGUGGCAGACGGGUGAGUAACGCGUGGGAACCUUCCCAGUGGUACGGAAUAGCUCAGGGAAACUUGAGGUAAUACCGUAUACGCCCUUCGGGGGAAAGAUUUAUCGCCAUUGGAUGGGCCCGCGUCGGAUUAGCUAGUUGGUGGGGUAAUGGCCUACCAAGGCGACGAUCCGUAGCUGGUCUGAGAGGAUGAUCAGCCACACUGGGACUGAGACACGGCCCAGACUCCUACGGGAGGCAGCAGUAGGGAAUAUUGGACAAUGGGCGAAAGCCUGAUCCAGCCAUGCCGCGUGAGUGACGAAGGCCUUCGGGUUGUAAAGCUCUUUUGGCGGGGACGAUAAUGACGGUACCCGCAGAAUAAGCUCCGGCUAACUCCGUGCCAGCAGCCGCCGUAACAC
rnacentral:rRNA from 1 species